AUUGAACGCUGGCGGCAGGCCUAACACAUGCAAGUCGAGCGAGCGGCGGACGGGUGAGUAAUGUCUGGGAAACUGCCGGAUGGAGGGGGAUAACUACUGGAAACGGUAGCUAAUACCGCAUACCAUCAGAUUUUCCCAGAUGGGAUUAGCUAGUAGGUGGGGUAAUGGCUCACCUAGGGGACGAUCCCUAGCUGGUCUGAGAGGAUGACCAGCCACACUGGAACUGAGACACGGUCCGGACUCCUACGGGAGGCAGCAGUGGGGAAUCUUGGACAAUGGGCGCAAGCCUGAUGCAGCCAUGCCGCGUGUGUGAAGAAGGCCUUCGGGUUGUAAAGCACUUUAAGCGGGGAGGCGUUACCCGCAGAGGAAGCACCGGCUAACUCCGUGCCAGCCGCCGCGGUAAUAC
rnacentral:rRNA from 1 species